GAUGAACGCUGGCGGCGUGCUUAACACAUGCAAGUCGAACGGAAAGGCCCUGCUUUUGUGGGGUGCUCGAGUGGCGAACGGGUGAGUAACACGUGAGUAACCUCCCCCUGACUUUGGGAUAACAUCAGGAAACUGGGGCUAAUACCGCAUAGGAGCUCCUGCUGCAUGGUGGGGGUUGGAAAGUGUAGGCGGUUGGGGCUGGACUCGCGGCUUAUCAGCUUGUUGGUGGGGUAGUGGCUUACCAAGGCUUUGACGGCUAGGCGGCCUGAGAGGGUGGCCGGCCACAUUGGGACUGAGAUAGGGCGCAGACUGCUACGGGAGGCAGAGGUGGGGAAUCUUGCACAAUGGGCGGAAGCCUGAUACAGAAGCGCCGCGUGCGUGAUGACGGCCUUCGGGUUGUAAACCGCUUUCGCCUGUGACGAAGCGUGAGUGACGGUAAUGGGUAAAGAAGCACCGGCUAACUACGUG
rnacentral:rRNA from 1 species